UAACCUUCCCUUCUCUCACAGU
rnacentral:miRNA from 1 species